rfam:Brassica napus, WGS project CCCW01000000 data, contig: 14110
GGGUGCGAUCAUACCAGCACUAAUGCACCGGAUCCCAUCAGAACUCCGCAGUUAAGCGUGCUUGGGCGAGAGUAGUACUAGGAUGAGUGACCUUCCGAGAAAUCCUCGUAUUGUACCCC